ensembl:lncRNA
ACAGGACGAAGUAGGUGGAGAUGCCUUAAGCAACGUGAAGUGUCCCCACCGGGCCCCCUGCAUCUUUCAUGCUCCAAGGAGACAAGAUGACUGCCCAGGCCCUGGGAACCCUCCCAGGCUUCUAAGGAGGAAGGAGUUCCCGAGCCAACAGUUGGCAGACGUGAAUCCCUACACCCAUGAGACCCAUCGCUGCUCCAGAAGCGCUUUCUCCGGUUUGAAGGGUUGGAGUUUAGAUGUUUUCAUGUCCUAUGUGAUGGAGUUUCUGCUUCUGUUUCUUAUUCUCCUGUCAACUCUGGGUCCACUUCUGGGCGAUUAAAAGGAAACACCUCACUUGAUUACAUUCCCCCCACAGAGACGCCUUCUGUAUAUACAAAAUCGC